rnacentral:lncRNA from 1 species
AUGGAUAUAGAACCCAAAGGUCCAGGAGGAACAGAAUGGCUUAAGAAAAUGUAUUGUAGCCAUGACCAAGGAAAGAUCCCUGGGUUUCCCUUAACCUGGCACCCAACUCAAAUGCAUCUGUCCUGCUUUUUCCUCAGAGUCACCACAAAGAGUCCUCUAGCCUCUAGUGACUCUCCAGAUAUAUAUACAAAGUCUAGAUAUCCUGAACUGAAUAAAUGCUUCAGACAACCAUCAGUCCAAAUGCAGAUUAUAACAGCUGAAUUAUUUGAAAUGACUCUAAUAUCAGGAGCCAUGGCAAAACUUGCAAAUACAGGGUUCAUCAGACGAAAUUAUCUCCAAGGCUCCUGCUGAGAAAAGAUGCAGUGUGAAAUAUUUGUGAGGCAUCUCUCAUGACCUGCUUUACAACCUCAAGGGAGGACACGGAAUACCUGUGUUUUGUCUGCCCUAGGCCAUCUAUCUUACCCCAUAAAACUCCUCACUCAUGUAUCAAUAAAAGAUUCAGCUUGUUGAAUACGGAUGGUUGCAUACUUGGUAUGAUCUCAAUACCUUAAGUUAUAAUGUGUUUUGUGUGACCUACCUUACAGAAUGUUCCAUGUGUGCUUGAAUAGAAUGUGUAUUCUGAUUCUGUUGAGUGGAAUGUUGUGAUGUAUCUGUUAGGUUCCUUCAGUCUGCAGUGUUGUUCAAAUCUGUUGUUUUGUUAUUGAUACGUCUGGAUGUUCUGUUAUUGAAAAUGGGAUAUUAAAAUCCCCUGCUAUUAUUUGUUGCUGUGAUAUGCUCUGAUUUCAUUCUCUUUUUCUUUUGUGUAUCUUCAAGAAGUAUCAUUUUUUUGAUUACUGUGGGGCUUACAUAAAACAUCUUAUGGUUAUAGCAAUCUAUUUUACGCUGAUAAUAAUUUAACUCCAAUCACACACAAAAACUCUACACUUUUGCUUUUCCCACACUUUAUGUUAUUGAUGUCAUACUUUAUCCAUUUUUAAAUGUAACUUUUUACUGUUGAGAAAAUACUAUGUUUUUAUCAUUGAGUUGUAAGAAACCUUAUAUUUUCUGGAUACAAGUCUCUAAUUACCUAUAUGGCUCGUAAAGACUUUGCCAUUAUGUGGAUUGCUUUUUCCCCUUAUGGUAUUUUUCAAAGCAUAAAACUUUUAGUUCUGGUGAAGUCCAAUUUAUCUGUUUUUUGCUUUGUUGCCUGUGCUCUUUUUUUUUUUUUUUUUUUUUUUUUUUUGUUGUUGCCUGUGCUCUUGAUGUCAAAUAAAAGAAAUGAUUGCCUUAUGCAAGAUUGGGAAGAUUUUUCUCUUACAUUUUCUUCUAGUCUUAUCGUUUUAACUCUUGUUUACAUGAGUUAAUAUUUGCAUAUGGUGUAAGAUGGUGUCUAAUUUCAUUAUUUUGCAUACAGACAUUCAAUUGUAGCAGCACUUUAAAAUUAUAAUUUGCUUAGGAACAAAUUAAACAAAAAAUGUAGAAUAAAAAUACAAAAUACUGUUGAGAAAAUUAAAACCUAUAUAACUAGAAAUAUAUCCCAGACACAUGUUUUAGACUUGACAUUGUUAAUAUGACCAUACUUCCCAAAAUGAUCUACAGAUCCAACACGUUCAAAAUUUCAGAUGCCUUUUUGAACAGAAAUUCAGAAGGCCAUUUAACAUACUUUCUGUAAUUUCAAUCCUCUGAAAUGUAUUCAAGUUUAUUUCAUAAUCUAACAUUUGUGAUAUCCUGUAGUAUGUUCAUAUGUACUAGAGGUGAAAUAGUAUUCUGCUCUUUGGGGGUGAAAUUUUCUCUGGGUAUCUGUUAGAUCUGUUGGUUUCUAGUGAUCUUCAAGUCUUUAAUUUCCUUGUAAGUCUUCUGCCUAUUUGUUAUUCAUUGAACAUGGAAUAUUGAAGUCUCUAAGUACUACUCUCAAAUUGUCUAUUUCUCUUCUCCAUUCUGUCAGGUUUUCCUUCAUGCGUUUAAAGUUCAAUUAUUAAGUGUAUAUAUGUUUUAAUGUUAUGUCUUUCUGAUGGAUUGACACUUUUCUCGUACAAUUUUCUUCUUUUAUUCAAUAAAAAAUUUUUGUUCCAUAUUUCAUCUGAUAUGUAGCUUCUUCAGCUCUCCCUCUCUCUCUUUAAAUAUUUAUUUAUUUGUUAGAGAGAGAGGGCAGGAGAGCAGUGGGGAGAGGUAGAAGGAGAGACAGUCUUAAGCACACUCUGAGCUUAGCAUCAAGGCUGACAUGGGGCUCCAUCUCAUGACUCUGAGAUAACCACCUAAGCUGAAACCAAGAGUUGGAUGCUUAACCAUCUUUGCCACCCAGGUGCAUCCUGAG